UACGGGGGGAGCAAGCGUUGUUCGGAUUUACUGGGCGUAAAGGGCGCGUAGGCGGUCAGCACAAGUCAGUUGUGAAAUCUCCGGGCUUAACUCGGAAAGGUCAACUGAUACUGUGCGACUAGAGUGCGGAAGGGGCAACUGGAAUUCUCGGUGUAGCGGUGAAAUGCGUAGAUAUCGGAAGGAACACCAAUGGCGAAGGCAGCCGCCUGGGCCUGAUCUGACACUGAGACACGAAAGCGUGGGGAUCAAACAGG
rnacentral:rRNA from 1 species